UUCUUCUUAUAAACAAGCUCUGGAGGUGGUGAAGAACCAAGAGGCCCAAGGCUGGGGAAGGAUCAUCGACAUCGUGGCAAAAGCAGACAUGUUUGGAGUCGGUUAUCAUCCAGAUUUAGAGUCAUCUAGACCAGACAGAGGAUGUCAUCCACUAUACGCCUUCGUCAGUGCAGGAAUGAUGGAUCCUGGUCAUGCCCGUUCAGUGGGUGGAGAUGUUGACAACGACCGCGAGCUUGAGGCAUGGAUACAGUCGUGCGUACCAGGC
rnacentral:lncRNA from 1 species